rnacentral:lncRNA from 1 species
CAGGUGCGCGGCCCUGGGAGCGGCCGUAGCGCGUAGCAGGGGGCAGUGCGGUAACGCAGCGAGAGAGCGGCUUCCGCAGGCACUCAGCAUUUUAAACAAUACUUGAAAAAAAUAGCACCUAUCAAGGAAGUACAGUAACAACAGGUCCCAAGUGAGGCCAUGGCAGCAUGCUGCAGUCUUCCUGGAGGAGCAGGAGUCACAGGAAGUCUGUAGCACUACUUCUAGUGCACACAAAUUCCCUGCCACCAUGGUUUGGAAGCAGCAGGAAGGUGACCACAGAAAUGUUUGUGUCAGCACAAUGGAGAGAAGCGCACAAACAAGAUGAGGAAGGCUCCAGGGGGCACAGGAACUCUGCAACCGUGCCACCAAUAUCCAACCACAUCUGAGCCAAUAGGUCUGUAUGCAAUAUGCAAUGCCAUCUGGACAUAAAAAUACACACAGAGUCUGCUCUGGGAUCUCUGGAGGUCUGGGAUAUAAAAAUAAAGCAUGGCUUCAGUCUGCUCUCA